AUGCCACGGUGAAUACGUUCCCGGGCCUUGUACACACCGCCCGUCACACCACGAGAGUUUGUAACACCCGAAGUCGGUGGGGUAACCCUUACGGGAGCCAGCCGCCGAAGGUGGGACAGAUGAUUGGGGUGAAGUCGUAACAAGGUAGCCGUAUCGGAAGGUGCGGCUGGAUCACCUCCUUUCU
rnacentral:rRNA from 2 species